rnacentral:rRNA from 1 species
UACGUAGGGUGCGAGCGUUGUCCGGAAUUAUUGGGCGUAAAGGGCUCGUAGGCGGUUUGUCGCGUCGGGAGUGAAAACACCGGGCUUAACUCGGUGCUUGCUUUCGAUACGGGCAGACUAGAGGCAUGCAGGGGAGAGCGGAACUCCUGGUGUAGCGGUGGAAUGCGCAGAUAUCAGGAAGAACACCGGUGGCGAAGGCGGCUCUCUGGGCCUUACCUGACGCUGAGGAGCGAAAGCGUGGUAGCGAACAGG